rnacentral:rRNA from 1 species
AACGGCCAUACCAUGCUGAAUAUACCGGUUCUCGUUAGAUCACCGAAGUUAAGCCUUAUUGGGCCGGUCGGUACUUGGGUGGGUGACCACCUGGAAACACCGCGUGCCGUU